GCGGAUUUAGCUCAAUGAUGCAGCACUUGCCUGGCAAGUGUGAUUUCCUGAGUUUGAUUCCCAGAACCCCCA
rnacentral:tRNA from 1 species